GAUGAACGUUGGCGGCGUGCCUAAUACAUGCAAGUCGAGCGAACAGACAAGGAGCUUGCUCCUUUGACGUUAGCGGCGGACGGGUGAGUAACACGUGGGUAACCUACCUAUAAGACUGGGAUAACUUCGGGAAACCGGAGCUAAUACCGGAUAAUAUUUCGAACCGCAUGGUUCGAUAGUGAAAGAUGGUUUUGCUAUCACUUAUAGAUGGACCCGCGCCGUAUUAGCUAGUUGGUAAGGUAACGGCUUACCAAGGCGACGAUACGUAGCCGACCUGAGAGGGUGAUCGGCCACACUGGAACUGAGACACGGUCCAGACUCCUACGGGAGGCAGCAGUAGGGAAUCUUCCGCAAUGGGCGAAAGCCUGACGGAGCAACGCCGCGUGAGUGAUGAAGGUCUUCGGAUUGUAAAACUCUGUUAUUAGGGAAGAACAUACGUGUAAGUAACUAUGCACGUCUUGACGGUACCUAAUCAGAAAGCCACGGCUAACUACGUGCCAGCAGCCGCGGUAAUACGUAGGUGGCAAGCGUUAUCCGGAAUUAUUGGGCGUAAAGCGCGCGUAGGCGGUUUUUUAAGUCUGAUGUGAAAGCCUACGGCUCAACCGUGGAGGGUCAUUGGAAACUGGAAAACUUGAGUGCAGAAGAGGAAAGUGGAAUUCCAUGUGUAGCGGUGAAAUGCGCAGAGAUAUGGAGGAACACCAGUGGCGAAGGCGACUUUCUGGUCUGUAACUGACGCUGAUGUGCGAAAGCGUGGGGAUCAAACAGGAUUAGAUACCCUGGUAGUCCACGCCGUAAACGAUGAGUGCUAAGUGUUAGGGGGUUUCCGCCCCUUAGUGCUGCAGCUAACGCAUUAAGCACUCCGCCUGGGGAGUACGACCGCAAGGUUGAAACUCAAAGGAAUUGACGGGGACCCGCACAAGCGGUGGAGCAUGUGGUUUAAUUCGAAGCAACGCGAAGAACCUUACCAAAUCUUGACAUCCUUUGACAACUCUAGAGAUAGAGCCUUCCCCUUCGGGGGACAAAGUGACAGGUGGUGCAUGGUUGUCGUCAGCUCGUGUCGUGAGAUGUUGGGUUAAGUCCCGCAACGAGCGCAACCCUUAAGCUUAGUUACCAUCAUUAAGUUGGGCACUCUAAGUUGACUGCCGGUGACAAACCGGAGGAAGGUGGGGAUGACGUCAAAUCAUCAUGCCCCUUAUGAUUUGGGCUACACACGUGCUACAAUGGACAAUACAAAGGGCAGCGAAACCGCGAGGUCAAGCAAAUCCCAUAAAGUUGUUCUCAGUUCGGAUUGUAGUCUGCAACUCGACUACAUGAAGCUGGAAUCGCUAGUAAUCGUAAAUCAGCAUGCUACGGUGAAUACGUUCCCGGGUC
rnacentral:rRNA from 1 species